rnacentral:rRNA from 1 species
AGAGUUUGAUCAUGGCUCAGAUUGAACGCUGGCGGCAUGCUUUACACAUGCAAGUCGAGCGGCAGCGCGGGGGCAACCCUGGCGGCGAGCGGCGAACGGGUGAGGAAUACAUCGGAACGUACCCCGGAGUGGGGGAUAACCCAGCGAAAGUUGGGCUAAUACCGCAUAUGCUCUGAGGAGGAAAGUGGGGGACCGCAAGGCCUCACGCUCUGGGAGCGGCCGAUGUCCGAUUAGCUUGUUGGUGGGGUAAUGGCCUACCAAGGCGACGAUCGGUAGCUGGUCUGAGAGGAUGAUCAGCCACACUGGGACUGAGACACGGCCCAGACUCCUACGGGAGGCAGCAGUGGGGAAUUUUGGACAAUGGGGGCAACCCUGAUCCAGCCAUGCCGCGUGCGGGAAGAAGGCCUUCGGGUUGUAAACCGCUUUUGGUCGGGAAGAAAAGGCGCCACCUAAUACGGGGCGUUCUUGACGGUACCGGCAGAAUAAGCACCGGCUAACUACGUGCCAGCAGCCGCGGUAAUACGUAGGGUGCGAGCGUUAAUCGGAAUUACUGGGCGUAAAGCGUGCGCAGGCGGUUUGUUAAGUCUGAUGUGAAAGCCCCGGGCUCAACCUGGGAAUGGCAUUGGAAACUGGCAGGCUCGAGUAUGGCAGAGGGGGGUGGAAUUCCGCGUAGCAGUGAAAUGCGUAGAGAUGCGGAGGAACACCGAUGGCGAAGGCAGCCCCCUGGGCCAAUACUGACGCUCAGGCACGAAAGCGUGGGGAGCAAACAGGAUUAGAUACCCCAGUAGUCC